rfam:Symbiobacterium thermophilum IAM 14863 DNA, complete genome.
UAACCCGGGCCGAGAGGCCCGGCUGAACCGGCAGAAGUCAGCAAAGGCCAUAGUACCGGCAGGGGGACGCCCCGAGCGGGAAGGGU